rnacentral:rRNA from 1 species
CCUACGGGUGGCUGCAGUGGGGAAUAUUGGACAAUGGGGGGAACCCUGAUCCAGCCAUGCCGCGUGUGUGAAGAAGGCCCUCGGGUUGUAAAGCACUUUCAGUGAGGAAGAACGCCUGGUGGUUAAUACCCAUCAGGAAAGACAUCACUCACAGAAGAAGCACCGGCUAACUCCGUGCCAGCAGCCGCGGUAAUACGGAGGGUGCGAGCGUUAAUCGGAAUUACUGGGCGUAAAGCGCGCGUAGGUGGCUUGAUAAGCCGGUUGUGAAAGCCCCGGGCUCAACCUGGGAACGGCAUCCGGAACUGUCAAGCUAGAGUGCAGUAGAGGAGGGUAGAAUUCCAGGUGUAGCGGUGAAAUGCGUAGAGAUCGGGAGGAAUACCAGUGGCGAAGGCGGCCUUCUGGACUGACACUGACACUGAGGUGCGAAAGCGUGGGUAGCAAACAGGAUUAGAUACCCUAGUAGUC